rnacentral:rRNA from 1 species
CCUACGGGUGGCAGCAGUGAGGAAUAUUGGUCAAUGGACGAGAGUCUGAACCAGCCAAGUAGCGUGAAGGAUGACUGCCCUAUGGGUUGUAAACUUCUUUUAUAUGGGAAUAAAAUGUUCCACGUGUGGGAUUUUGUAUGUACCUUAUGAAUAAGGAUCGGCUAACUCCGUGCCAGCAGCCGCGGUAAUACGGAGGAUCCGAGCGUUAUCCGGAUUUAUUGGGUUUAAAGGGAGCGUAGGUGGAUUGUUAAGUCAGUUGUGAAAGUUUGCGGCUCAACCAUAAAAUUGCAGUUGAUACUGGCAGUCUUGAGUACAGUAGAGGUAGGCGGAAUUCGUGGUGUAGCGGUGAAAUGCUUAGAUAUCACGAAGAACUCCGAUUGCGAAGGCAGUUCACUGGACUGCAACUGACACUGAGGCUCGAAAGUGUGGGUAUCAAACAGGAUUAGAUACCCUUGUAGUC